UGACCUGCUAAAUAGACGGGUUGACAUUUUGUUGGCCCCUUAUGUCUUCUUAGAGGGACUAUCGACCGUCUAGGUGAUGGAGGCAAAAGGCAAUAACAGGUCUGUGAUGCCCUUAGAUGUUCCGGGCUGCACGCGCGCUACACUGACAGAGACAACGAGUGGGGCCCCUUGUCCGAAAUGACUGGGUAAACUUGUGAAACUUUGUCGUGCUGGGGAUGGAGCUUUGUAAUUUUUGCUCUUCAACGAGGAAUUCCUAGUAAGCGCAUGUCAUCAGCAUGCGUUGAUUACGUCCCUGCCCUUUGUACACACCGCCCGUCGCU
rnacentral:rRNA from 1 species